GAUCCGUAAACCCCUGUCAUUUGUGAACAAUGGUUACUUAUGAAUAAUAGGUGACUUGAUAGUAAUGAAAGAGGAAGGGACGGCUAACUCUGUGCCAGCAGCCGCGGUAAUACAGAGGUCCCGAGCGUUGUUCGGAUUCACUGGGCGUAAAGGGUGCGUAGGUGGCUUGGUAAGUUUGAUGUGAAAGCUCAGGGCUCAACCCUGAAAUGGCAUUGAAUACUACUGAGCUGGAGGUUUGGAGGGGGGACUGGAAUUCUCGGUGUAGCAGUGAAAUGCGUAGAUAUCGAGAGGAACACCAGUGGCGAAGGCGAGUCCCUGGACAACACCUGACACUGAGGCACGAAAGCUAGGGGAGCAAACAGGAUUAGAUACCCUGGUAGUCCUAGCCCUAAACGGUGCGCAUUUGCUGUAAGAGGAAUCGACCCCUUUUGUGGCGAAGCUAACGCGAUAAAUGCGCCGCCUGGGGAGUACGGUCGCAAGAUUAAAACUCAAAGAAAUUGACGGGGGCCUGCACAAGCGGUGGAGUAUGUGGCUUAAUUCGAUGCAACGCGAAGAACCUUACCUGGCCUUGACAUGCAAGUAGUAGAACCAUGAAAGUGGGACGACCCCGCAAGGGGAGCUUGCACAGGUGCUGCAUGGCUGUCGUCAGCUCGUGUCGUGAGAUGUUGGGUUAAGUCCCCGCACGAGCGCAACCCCU
rnacentral:rRNA from 1 species